GCGUGCAGGUAUAUCUUUACUUUAACGUCCUGCCAACGAAUCUUCGGGCAUGUCCGAAAUCGGCCCCGAAAAAUUUAUUUGUGCAAAACAAUUGCGAAGAAAACUUGUGAAUAAACCUUUUUAGUGGUUAAUUUUUAGCGGAAUCCUUUCGUCGAAUAUUUUACCCGGUUUCGUGCAGAAUCGCUGAUGUUCCGUUGUACAAGAAACUGAGGGAAGUAUAAGCAAUAUAAUUCCUGUUCGAAGCGGUCGAGGUUUCAGUUUCUUACAGGCGCUGUAAUUGUUGUCGUACAUAUUACAUAGCAACUUCCACAGCGUCAUGUUAGCUGUUUGUGUUGCCAUUAAAAUAUCGGCUGCUCGAGGUAGAAGCUUUGUCGACUUGGCGUCGAUUGGAAUCAUACAAUCGCACAAGGACGGGUAGCAGACUAGCAGGAAGUGGAAAAUCGGCGUUGGGAGAUAAUCAAGAAAAUCAACCAGGAACGAUCGAUGGAAAUGUUUUACGGUAUGCUCUGCUUUUGCCGACCUCCAUGAAGAACACGACUGCAGCCAUAAAAAGCAUUCCCAAAACCGUAUAAAUCGUGGUUAACAGAACCGGCAUACGAAUCUGAGCGACCCGUUUUUUGUUACGCUGGGAUUCAGGAAUGUACGGCACACUGUACGCAGAAUAAAGCUGAUCGAAAUGGAGAUCUACGAUGCGCUGCAAGUUGCCGGUUUUAGCUAGUCGAACUACCCUGCAAAUAAAUUGGAAAGGUGCCUUAACCGCGGUGACAAAGCCUGCUUUCCGGAACAGCGGUGUUUCGUCCAUGCUGAAAAUAGCCACCUUAUCGUACUCUGAAACUGAUGCAGCGUAUUCAAGGAACAAGGCCAAAGAGCUUCCGGAAUCAUAUUGUCGCAUCUUUGGAGUCAACGGUUUUAA